rnacentral:rRNA from 1 species
AUGAAGUCCACCUCCUCCGGCACCGGCGCGGCCCCCUCCUCCCAGCCGGCCUCCUCGCGGGCCAAGAAGAUGGACCGCGUCGAGUCCAGCCUCAAGGACGCCUCGCGGGAGCUCUCCCUCGCCAAGCUCAAGUCCGGCGCCGUCGUCGCCGCCGUGCUCUUCGUCGUCUUCGGCCUCCUCAACUCGCUCUUCGAGGGCCGCGCCGUCGCCAAGCUGCCCUUCGCGCCCGUCCCGCUCGUGCAGCGCAUGAGCCACCGCGGCCUCCCCGGGAACGACCCCACCGACUGCGCCAUGGUCUUCCUCUACUUCCUCUGCUCCAUGAGCAUACGGACCAACCUCCAGAAGCUGCUCGGCUUCACGCCGCCCCGCGCCGCCGCCGGGGCCGGCGGCGGCCUCUUCGCCAUGCCCGAUCCCAAAACCAAUUGA